rnacentral:tRNA from 1 species
GGAUCCAUUGCUCAGUUGGUAAAGCACAAAGCUCUUAACCUUGUGGACGUGGGUCCA